rnacentral:rRNA from 1 species
AUAGGAGACAACGGGCCAUCUUCUUGUUUUUAAAGACCUAGCAAUAGGUAUGCUUAGGGAGGAGCUUGCGUCACAUUAGUUAGUUGGUGGGGUAAAGGCCUACCAAGACUAUGAUGUGUAGCCGGGCUGAGAGGUUGAACGGCCACAUUGGGACUGAGACACGGCCCAAACUCCUACGGGAGGCAGCAGUAGGGAAUUUUCGGCAAUGGAGGAAACUCUGACCGAGCAACGCCGCGUGAACGAUGAAGUAUUUCGGUACGUAAAGUUCUUUUAUUAGGGAAGAAUAAAUGAUGGAAAAAUCAUUCUGACGGUACCUAAUGAAUAAGCCCCGGCUAACUAUGUGCCAGCAGCCGCGGUAAUACAUAGGGGGCAAGCGUUAUCCGGAAUUAUUGGGCGUAAAGGGUGCGUAGGCGGUUAAAUAAGUUUAUGGUCUAAGUGCAAUGCUCAACAUUGUGAUGCUAUAAAAACUGUUUAGCUAGAGUAAGAUAGAGGCAAGUGGAAUUCCAUGCAUGUGUAGUGGUAAAAUGCGUAAAUAUAUGGAGGAACACCAGUAGCGAAGGCGGCUUGCUGGGUCUUUACUGACGCUGAGGCACGAAAGCGUGGGGAGCAAACAGGAUUAGAUACCCUGGUAGUCCACGCCGUAAACGAUGAGUACUAAACGUUGGGUAAAACCAGUGUUGAAGUUAACACAUUAAGUACUCCGCCUGAGUAGUACGUACGCAAGUAUGAAACUUAAAGGAAUUGACGGGACUCCGCACAAGCGGUGGAUCAUGUUGUUUAAUUCGAAGGUACCCGAAAAACCUCACCAGGUCUUGACAUGCUUCUGCAAAGCUGUAGAAACACAGUGGAGGUUAUCAGUUGCACAGGUGGUGCAUGGUUGUCGUCAGCUCGUGUCGUGAGAUGUUGGGUUAAGUCCCGCAACGAGCGCAACCCUUAUUGUUAGUUACCAGCACGUAAUGGUGGGGACUUUAGCAAGACUGCCAGUGAUAAAUUGGAGGAAGGUGGGGACGACGUCAAAUCAUCAUGCCCCUUAUGACCUGGGCUACAAACGUGAUACAAUGGCUGUUACAAAGGGUAGCUGAAGCGCAAGUUUUUGGCGAAUCUCAAAAAAACAGUCUCAGUUCGGAUUGAAGUCUGCAACUCGACUUCAUGAAGUUGGAAUCGCUAGUAAUCGCGAAUCCAGCAUGUCGCGGUGAAUACGUUCU